GAAACUUUUCUGUUCCGGUCAAUUCAGAAGAUAAUCCAAUGGUUUAUGCAAAUAGAUUGAAACGCCCUUGACCUGUAUCUGUACAGUUUGUUUGGAAAGAAUGAAUAAGCUCCAUUGCAACAUAUGAAAGGAAAUCACGUCAAAUGCCAUCAGUAUAAACCCAACAAGCUCAGAGAGCAAGAGAAAAACCCGACAUGUCAACAAUGCCUUCAUCGGAAAUGUUACAACACUCCUGUUAUCGUCUCUCCCUUAGCAACGCCCUAUGGGGGAAAAACAAUGAAGGAUCUUAUAGCACCUUAAGGAUGAAUGAGUUGUGUUUGGCAUAAACUUCCACGGAGCACUAGGCCACAAUCAGAAAUCAGUCUGCAUAAUCAGAUGCCAAUAAAACUUGUAGGUCUCUAAACAAAACAAAAUAUUUGGUUAUUUUUCCAAGGAGGACAUUUAUCUGUUUACAGUCACUCUGAUAUUUAUAUCUACCAAUUUAUGAUCAGUUUUAAGGUCAUAACAAGUGCACUAAUAUGGUUAAGAGAAAACACAAAUAAAAAUAAUAAUUCUGUUGUCCAAAUAUUGUGAUGGCAC